rnacentral:rRNA from 1 species
UACGUAGGGUGCGAGCGUUAAUCGGAAUUACUGGGCGUAAAGCGUGCGCAGGCGGUUAUUUAAGUCAGGUGUGAAAGCCCUGGGCUUAACCUAGGAAUUGCGCUUGAGACUGGAUGGCUUGGAGUGCGGCAGAGGGAGGUGGAAUUCCACGUGUAGCAGUGAAAUGCGUAGAGAUGUGGAGGAACACCGAUGGCGAAGGCAGCCUCCUGGGCCAGCACUGACGCUCAUGCACGAAAGCGUGGGGAGCAAACAGGAUUAGA